AACGCUAGCUACAGGCUUAACACAUGCAAGUCGAGGGGUAACGAGAGGGAAGCUUGCUUUCCUUGUCGACGACCGGCGAAUGGGUGAGUAACGCGUAUCCAACCUGCCCUUCAGUAAGGGAUAGCCUUUCGAAAGAAAGAAUAAUACCUUAUAAGAUCGUUUGAUGACAUCAGAUGACGAUUAAAGAUUAAUCGCUGAAGGAUGGGGAUGCGUCCCAUUAGGCAGUAGGCGGGGUAACGGCCCACCUAACCUACGACGGGUAGGGGUUCUGAGAGGAAGGUCCCCCACAUUGGAACUGAGACACGGUCCAAACUCCUACGGGAGGCAGCAGUGAGGAAUAUUGGUCAAUGGCCGUAAGGCUGAACCAGCCAAGUAGCGUGCAGGAUGACGGCCCUAUGGGUUGUAAACUGCUUUUAAACGGGGAUAAAGUGAGCCACGUGUGGUUUAUUGCAGGUACCGUUUGAAUAAGGACCGGCUAAUUCCGUGCCAGCAGCCGCGGUAAUACGGAAGGUCCAGGCGUUAUCCGGAUUUAUUGGGUUUAAAGGGAGCGUAGGCGGAGCGUCAAGCCAGCAGUGAAAUGUAGCGGCCCAACCGCUGCACUGCUGUUGGAACUGGCGCCCUUGAGUGCACACGAGGUAUGCGGAAUUUGUGGUGUAGCGGUGAAAUGCUUAGAUAUCACGAAGAACUCCGAUUG
rnacentral:rRNA from 1 species